ensembl:misc_RNA Metazoa_SRP Metazoan signal recognition particle RNA
ACCUCAUAUGGUAGCAUAUUCCUAUAUUUACUGAGGAGGCUAAGACUGACUAAUAUCUUGAGCUUAGGAAUUCUGAGCUGUAGUGGUCUGUGCUGAUUGGGUAUCCUCACUAAGUUUAGCAUUACUUUAUUGGGCCCCUGGGAGCAAGGGGGCCACCAGGUUGCCAAAGGAGGGGUGGAUUGGUCUGGGUUAGAAACAGAGAAGGUCAAAGCUCCAGUACCAAUCAGUAGUAGUAUCAGGAUCAUAAGUAGUGUCUGAAUUUCUAGCCUGAACAACACAGGGAGACCCAUUAUUA